GGGUCGUUAGCUCAGUUGGUAGAGCAGUUGGCUUUUAACCAAUUGGUCGUAGGUUCGAAUCCUACGACCCACCA
rnacentral:tRNA from 1 species